rnacentral:rRNA from 1 species
AUUGAACGCUGGCGGAAUGCUUUACACAUGCAAGUCGAACGGCAGCACGGACUUCGGUCUGGUGGCGAGUGGCGAACGGGUGAGUAAUGUAUCGGAACGUGCCCAGUCGUGGGGGAUAACGUAGUGAAAAUUACGCUAAUACCGCAUACGAUCUAUGGAUGAAAGCGGGGGAUCGCAAGACCUCGCGCGAUUGGAGCGGCCGAUAUCAGAUUAGGUAGUUGGUGGGGUAAAGGCCUACCAAGCCAACGAUCUGUAGCUGGUCUGAGAGGACGCCCAGCCACACACGAACUGGGACACGGUCCCGACUCCUACAGGAGGAAGCAGUGGGGGAUUUUGGACCAUGGGCGAAAGCCUGAACCAGCCAGUCCGCGUGCAGGAUGAAGGCCCUCGGGUUGUAAACUCCUUUUGUACAGAACGAAAAGGUUUCUGCUAAUACUUGGAGCUCAUGACGGUACUGUAAGAAUACGCACCUGCUAAUUACGUGCCAGCCGCCGCCGUAA